AUGUCCAGCGCCGGCGACCCCGCCGGUGCGGCGGCCGCGGCGGCGCCCAACCCGUCGGUGCGCGCCCCGAGGCUGCCCCGCUGGACGCGGCAGGAGAUACUGGUGCUCAUCGAGGGCAAGCGCAUGGUUGAAGUCCGCGGCGGCGUGCGCGGCGGGAGGGGGCGCCUGGCGGCGGCGGCGGCGGCCGGGGCAACCGGGGAGGGGGCGGCGGCGGCGCUGGAGCCCAAGUGGGCCGCCGUCGCGGAGUACUGCCGGCGGCAUGGCGUGGAGAGGGGGGCCGUGCAGUGCCGGAAGCGGUGGAGCAACCUCGCUGGGGACUGGAAGAAGAUAAAGGAGUGGGAGCGGGCGGCCGCCGGCGCGCGGGAGCCCUCGUUCUGGGCCAUGCGCAACGACGCGAGGCGGGAGCGCCGGCUCCCUGGCUUCUUCGACCGCGAGGUGUACGGCAUACUCGAAGGUCGAGGUCGGGGGGUCGUCGCCGGCAGCAGCUCCGGUGGUGGUGCCGCCGUGGAGGAAGUAGGGGUGGUGCGCAUGGAGGAGGAUGAUGAUGAGGAGACGGGGGAGGAGGAAGAGGAGAGAGGGAAGGGGAAGGAGGUGGCAGUGGCAGUGGCAGUGGAGACCGUGUUUGACAGUGGCCGGCCCGCCGGGGAGGAGGUCCUCUUCUCGGAGGAGGAAGAUGCUGAGACGCCAGAGGCGACGCCGGCACCACCGCCGGCGGUCAUCGCCUUGCCGAUUUCCGAGAAUUCGGAGGCAUCAAGGCAACAGAGCGCACAGCAAGGCACAACAAAAGACAGGCAAGGAGGGCAUCAAGGCAGCACCAAGACAGGAGGCUCACCGACUCUGCAGCAGAGCGGGCAGAAGAGACAGCGAACCGGCAACGACAGUGAGCCCAGAGCAGAAGGCAUAGCAGACAAGCUGCUGGAGAUCCUAGAGCGGAACAGCCAGAUCAUGACGGCGCAGCUGGAGGCGCAGAACAUGAACUCGGAGCGCGACCGCGAGGAGAGGAGAGAGCAGGCCAACAGCCUCGCCGUGGUGCUCGGCAGGCUCGCCGAUGCUCUUGGCAGGAUCGCCGAUAAGCUCUAG
rnacentral:rRNA from 1 species